AAAAAGGGCCUCUGUCAUACGCGCACACGUAAGUGGCUCUGUCUGCUCUUGGUGCGGAAUCAACACCACGAAAUUUCGGAAGCAUCAUUUUUUCAUUUCUGGGCAGCUGGUCAUCAUUGAUCCUCGUGCCAUA